rnacentral:miRNA from 1 species
CUGUGUAGCCUACUGACUCUA